GGAAGUUUGGGAUGAGCCUGCGCUCCUGGAGACUCUGUCUCCAACAAGUAGAACCCAGCAACACCAACCAAAACGAAACAACAGCACAUGAGCCAUGUGUCUGACCCAGGACUCCGCCCCGGGCUCACUCGUGCCUUCUUCCCAGGAGUGGAUGACACGGUCAGCGUACUACUUCAGUACCCGGGAGGGCUUCACGGCAGCUUCACCUGCAGCAUCUCCUCCGACCUCCCCAACACAGCGUACGUGAAUGGUACCAAGGGCAUGGCCCAGGUGAGACGGCGCAUGGCCAAGUGCCGGGGGCUGUGCGGCAACCGCAGAGGGGAGGCCUAGAGUUGAAGCAACGUUCUUCUUACCGUGCUUCUGGGGCGCUCGUGCUCAGGGUGGGGGCUGGGUCUCGGAAGCCACAGUCUCAUGCCCUCAGGCCUUGGGACAAGUGAGUUCUGCUGUAUGGGUUUGGUGUUAGGAAUGGAAGCCUAGUCUUCCCGAGGGCUAAACGUCUGCCCCGACACCCAGUUACUCCCCAGCCCCACGCACUUUCUGGCCGGAUGUGCUACUUCUCCUGUUCUGCUGCCAAAUACCUGACUGAAGAGAUGGUUUAUUUGGCUCAGGGUUGCAGACCUGUGGGUUUCAUGGGGAAGGCAUGGAGGAGGAACCCUUUUGCUCUGUAACAACGGAAGCUUUCCAUACAGCUUGUUUAGGCCGUGACGGUGAGGAAGCAGUGCAGUGAGAAUUUGGGUUUCUUUAAAAAAAAGAAAAGAAAAGAAAAGAAAAGAAAAGGAAAGAAAGAAAGAAAGAAAGAAAG
rnacentral:lncRNA from 1 species